UUCCGGUUGAUCCUGCCGGACCCUACUGCUAUCGGGGGAGGACUAAAACAUGCAAGUCGUGCGCCUCCAAGCUAUGAUGGAGACGCGGCAUACGGCUCAGUAACACGUGGCUAACCCACCCUUGAGACGGAGAAAACCCCGGGAAACUGGGGCUAAUCCCCGAUAGGAGAAGACACCUGGAAGGGGUCUUUUCCCAAAAGGCGCUCAGAUCAUGCUUCUAGACGCCGCUCAAGGACGGGGCCGCGGCCGAUCAGGUUGUUGGUGAGGCAAUGGCUCACCAAGCCUGUAACCGGUACGGGCCGUGAGAGCGGGAGCCCGGAGAUGGGCACUGAGACAAGGGCCCAGGCCCUACGGGGCGCAGCAGUUGCGAAAACUCCGCAAUGCACGAAAGUGUGACGGGGCUACCCCGAGUGCCGUCCGCUGAGGGCGGCUUUUCCCCGGUGUAAGGAGCCGGGGGAAUAAGGAGAGGGCAAGACUGGUGUCAGCCGCCGCGGUAAUACCAGCUCUCCGAGUGGUGAGGACGAUUAUUGGGCUUAAAGCGUUCGUAGCCGGCUCAACAAGUCUUCCGUUAAAUCCAACGAUCUAAUCGUUGGGCCGCGGGAGAUACUGCUGGGCUAGGAGGCGGGAGAAGCCGACGGUAUUCUCGGGGUAGGGGUGAAAUCCUGUAAUCCCGGGAGGACCACCAGUGGCGAAGGCGGUCGGCUAGAACGCGCUCGACGGUGAGGGACGAAAGCUGGGGGAGCGAACCGGAUUAGAAACCCGGGUAGUCCCAGCUGUAAACGAUGCGGGCUAGGUGUUGGGGUGGCCACGAGCCACCUCAGUGCCGCAUGGAAAGCAAUUAAGCCCGCCGCCUGGGGAGUACGGUCGCAAGGCUGAACUUAAAGGAAUUGGCCGGGGGAGCACACAAGGCGUGAGCUUGCGGUUUAAUUGGACUCAACGCCGGA
rnacentral:rRNA from 1 species